GACGAACGCUGGCGGCGUGCUUAACACAUGCAAGUCGAACGGAAAGGCCCUGCUUUUGUGGGGUGCUCGAGUGGCGAACGGGUGAGUAACACGUGAGUAACCUGCCCUUGACUUUGGGAUAACUUCAGGAAACUGGGGCUAAUACCGGAUAGGAGCUCCUGCUGCAUGGUGGGGGUUGGAAAGUUUCGGCGGUUGGGGAUGGACUCGCGGCUUAUCAGCUUGUUGGUGGGGUAGUGGCUUACCAAGGCUUUGACGGGUAGCCGGCCUGAGAGGGUGACCGGCCACAUUGGGACUGAGAUACGGCCCAGACUCCUACGGGAGGCAGCAGUGGGGAAUAUUGCACAAUGGGCGGAAGCCUGAUGCAGCAACGCCGCGUGCGGGAUGACGGCCUUCGGGUUGUAAACCGCUUUCGCCUGUGACGAAGCGUGAGUGACGGUGAUGGGUAAAGAAGCACCGGCUAACUACGUG
rnacentral:rRNA from 1 species